GAGGGGGAGGAGGAGGGGGAGGAGAGAGAUCAGUCUUUCUGGUAGGAGGUCUGAGAGAAGCAGGUGGUUCAGGAGGAAGGGGGACUGCCCUUCCAUGGGGAGGCUUCAAAGGGAGCAUACUAUCAACCCUUCCAGGAGGAGGCUUCAAAGGAAGCAUGCUAUCAACCCUUCCAGGAGGAGGAGGUACCAGAGCAAUGGUAUUGCUAGAUUUCCCGAUUGAUUCAGCAGAGAGUGCAAUUUCAUCUAGUGAGGCACGGAGAACAUCAGACAUGAUGCUGUCCAAAGAUGAGCCCUUUCUAUGAUGGCUUGAGUUCUUAUUGAAAGAUUGAUGAUCAAAGUUCUCUUCUUUAAUAGAAUUUAGCAAACCAAAAGACUUGUGAGAACCAGUAGAGUAGUCACUUAGGCUCAGGCUAAGAAGAGGUUUUUCAUCAUUUAGUCUACCUCCAGAGCUUCUUCGACAAAUCUUAGUACAGCAAAAAAAGAACAGUGCUGCAAAGGCAGAUGUCACUGCUGCAGUCACAACAACUGCAAUAACUAUUACUUUACGGUUAUUUCUGUGACUAUCUGGCUCAACAUUUGGAUCAGAAACUGAACCUGCAGAAGCAACUUCCAUAUCUGAGGGUGGCGAUUCAUCACCUCCUUCAAAUGAAGGUGCCAGAUCAGCAGCUAGUGAUUUAUCAGUAAGGACAGGGUCAGAGGCACUCUGGAGCAAAUUCCUUUUUGGACCAUCAGGCAUAGGAAAUGCAGAAUCAAGAUACCUGCUAUGCUGACUAUUAGAGCCACUUUCUCUAGAAGCAUGGAACAGAAUAUUGUUCUUUCUCAUACAACCUAGAAGAGUUUGCUUCCACUGUGGAUUCUGGACUUUAAUCAUUUUCCGAAAAUGUUCUUUUGUCAGUGACCUACUCUUUGAAUUACUUUCACUAGCUGCAUCAGAUAUCUCCUCCGGAAAACAGAAGUUGAGAUCCUCAUUAGCUUCCUUCAAACAAAUCAAAUCUAGCCUGCAACUGACCCAUAAUAGCUCUACCAUGCCCUCAUCAACCUCCUCAGUCAUUGGAUCAACUAAUUGACUCAGAGACACUUCCUCUGUCCUCUUUCUGUGUUCCAAGCUCCACACCAAAGAUGCACAAAGCAAAAUCACCAAGAACAGGACAUAAUUUGACUGUAUGCGAAUCAUUUGUUGUUGAAUCACCAUUGUCAGCAUACAGUAUUCUUCUCAUUUCAUCAAUGGCAAAACCCCUUACUGCAACAAAACCCUAGAAUACCGUCAUAACGCACAGCUACCCAAAAAGCUUCAAACUUGGAACAUUCGACUCGUACCCACUGUUAUUUUUGUCAAGAACGAUCCCAAAACUAAUCGAUCACCUAAAUACAAAUCCUUCAAAACCCGGAUACAAUAUGUUACCAAAAAUUGAAACUUUGGAUCAGCAUUCAAUCAACCAAACAAAACCCGGAAUUUAUCUUCCAUAAAACGCCAAAAUAUCUAAUCAAAUGACACACAGAAUCAAUAUAAAUAAGCUCAAAAGAAAAUUAACUUAAGGAGGAGCUAUCAGAACCGAAAUGAACCCUUAUUUUGGCCCUAUAAACAGAACCAAAAAUAAAAAUCCCAAAUAUAAGCAGGAAUUUCGAAAAUUCAAAUGGGCUUUCGAUUCUGACCAAAUCCAAACAAAAGGAGCUUAAAAGGGCAAUAGCUGUUUAUCCAGGAAACGGUGUUGACCAGUGAAAACGAUGACAAUAAAAAUUUUCUUCUCCAAUAAGGUUUCGUCGAAAAGCCGACGAAGAAUUCAUUAAGAAAAGUACAAAAAUUUUCAACUUUUGAAAUUGAAAAGAAGCUUUUCUCCUCUUUUUCCAUUUUUGAAUUUGAUGAGCUCUUUUGGUAAAGAGAGAGACGCGGAAAGGAGGGCCGCAAUUCCGC
rnacentral:misc_RNA from 1 species